UCCGUAGGCGGAUUUUUAAGUCAGUGGUGAAAGCCGACAGCUCAACUGUCGAACUGCCAUUGAUACUGGAAAUCUUGAGUACAAAUGAAGUAGGCGGAAUGAGUCAUGUAGCGGUGAAAUGCAUAGAUAUGACUCAGAACACCAAUUGCGAAGGCAGCUUACUAACAUGUAACUGACGCUGAGGGACGAAAGCGUGGGGAGCGAACAGGAUUAGAUACCCUGGUAGUCC
rnacentral:rRNA from 1 species